CCUACGGGAGGCAGCAGUGUGGAAUAUUGGUCAAUGGGGGGAAUUUUGACCCAGCCAUGUCGCGUGCAGGAAGACGGCCUUAGGGGUAGUAAACUUCUUUGUCGGGGGAAAAAUCUUUUUCGGGGGAGGACAAAUGCCGGUACCCCAGGAAUAAGCCUCGGCUAAUUCCGUGCCAGCAGCCGCGGUAAUACGGAGGAUCCGAGCGUUAUCCGGAUUUAUUGGGGUUAAAGGGCGGGUAGGCGGGUUUUUAAGUCAGUGUUGAAAGCCCGCGGCUUAACCGUGGCAGUCCUCUUGAAACUGUUUUCCUUGAGUGCGGGAGAGGUGACCGGAAUUCCUGGUGUAGCGUGAAAUGCCUAGAUACACGGAGGAACACCAAUGGCGAAGGCAGCUUUCUAGCCGUAACUGACGCUGAGC
rnacentral:rRNA from 1 species